rnacentral:lncRNA from 1 species
CAAUGUCCAUCAGAUUAGGCUUUCAUCAGCAUCAAGCCAUCAAAUCUCCUCAGCUGUUAGGAUCAUUGUUAGGAUCACUGCCUAGAUUCUUCAUGUACCUCAUAACUGUUCAUUCCAUGUCUUGGAUCAAGUACCUAUGCACUUCAACAAGGUAAAUUUGUCAUUGCUACAAGAACAAAUACAAUAUGAUAUGAUAGUGAACUUUGUCAAUAUAUAUUAAGAGAAAAAAUGCUUGUAGUCAU